rnacentral:rRNA from 2 species
AACGUACCUUUUGGUUCGGAACAACACAGGGAAACUUGUGCUAAUACCGGAUAAGCCCUUACGGGGAAAGAUUUAUCGCCGAAAGAUCGGCCCGCGUCUGAUUAGCUAGUUGGUGAGGUAAUGGCUCACCAAGGCGACGAUCAGUAGCUGGUCUGAGAGGAUGAUCAGCCACAUUGGGACUGAGACACGGCCCAAACUCCUACGGGAGGCAGCAGUGGGGAAUAUUGGACAAUGGGCGAAAGCCUGAUCCAGCCAUGCCGCGUGAGUGAUGAAGGCCCUAGGGUUGUAAAGCUCUUUUGUGCGGGAAGAUAAUGACGGUACCGCAAGAAUAAGCCCCGGCUAACUUCGUGCCAGCAGCCGCGGUAAUACGAAGGGGGCUAGCGUUGCUCGGAAUCACUGGGCGUAAAGGGUGCGUAGGCGGGUUUCUAAGUCAGAGGUGAAAGCCUGGAGCUCAACUCCAGACCUGCCUUUGAUACUGGAAGUCUUGAGUAUGGCAGAGGUGAGUGGACCUGCGA